GAUGAACGCUAGCGGCAGGCUUAACACAUGCAAGUCGAGGGGCAGCGGGGAGGAAGCUUGCUUUCUCCGCCGGCGACCGGCGCACGGGUGAGUAACACGUAUGCAACCUGCCCCUGUCAGGGGGACAACCCGCCGAAAGGCGGGCUAAACCCGCGUACAUGCCACCGGGGCAUCCCGGAGGCAGGAAAGGCUUCGGCCGGACAGGGAUGGGCAUGCGGCGCAUUAGGCAGUAGGCGGGGUAACGGCCCACCUAACCGACGAUGCGUAGGGGUUCUGAGAGGAAGGUCCCCCACACUGGUACUGAGACACGGACCAGACUCCUACGGGAGGCAGCAGUGAGGAAUAUUGGUCAAUGGUCGGGAGACUGAACCAGCCAAGCCGCGUGAGGGAUGAAGGUACAGAGUAUCGUAAACCUCUUUUGUCAGGGAACAAAGGCGGGGACGUGUCCCCGGAUGAGUGUACCUGAAGAAAAAGCAUCGGCUAACUCCGUGCCAGCAGCCGCGGUAAUACGGAGGAUGCGAGCGUUAUCCGGAUUUAUUGGGUUUAAAGGGUGCGCAGGCGGUCUGUUAAGUCAGCGGUCAAAGCCCGGGGCUCAACCCCGGCCCGCCGUUGAAACUGGCAGUCUCGAGUUGGAGAGAAGUAUGCGGAAUGCGCGGUGUAGCGGUGAAAUGCAUAGAUAUCGCGCAGAACUCCGAUUGCGAAGGCAGCAUGCCGGCUCCACACUGACGCUGAGGCACGAAAGCGUGGGUAUCGAACAGGAUUAGAUACCCUGGUAGUCCACGCAGUAAACGAUGAAUGCUGGCUGUCCGGGGGGGAUUGACCCCUGGGUGGCGAAGCGAAAGCGAUAAGCAUUCCACCUGGGGAGUACGCCGGCAACGGUGAAACUCAAAGGAAUUGACGGGGGCCCGCACAAGCGGAGGAACAUGUGGUUUAAUUCGAUGAUACGCGAGGAACCUUACCCGGGCUCAAACGGGGAGUGACUCAGGCAGAGACGCCUGUUUCCCACGGGACACUCCCCGAGGUGCUGCAUGGUUGUCGUCAGCUCGUGCCGUGAGGUGUCGGCUUAAGUGCCAUAACGAGCGCAACCCCCGCGUGCAGUUGCUAACAGAUAACGCUGAGGACUCUGCACGGACUGCCGGCGCAAGCCGCGAGGAAGGCGGGGAUGACGUCAAAUCAGCACGGCCCUUACGUCCGGGGCGACACACGUGUUACAAUGGGUGGUACAGCGGGAAGCCAGGCGGCGACGCCGAGCGGAACCCGAAAUCCACUCUCAGUUCGGAUCGGAGUCUGCAACCCGACUCCGUGAAGCUGGAUUCGCUAGUAAUCGCGCAUCAGCCAUGGCGCGGUGAAUACGUUCCCGGGCCUUGUACACACCGCCCGUCAAGCCAUGGGAGCCGAGGGCGCUUGAAGUGCGUCGCCGCGAGGCGCGCCCUAGAGCGAAAUCGGUGACUGGGGCUAAGUCGUAACAAGGUAACC
rnacentral:rRNA from 1 species